AUACGGAGGGUGCAAGCGUUACUCGGAAUCACAGGGCGUAAAGCGCGCGCAGGCGGGCUGAUAAGUUGGAUGUGAAGGCCUACGGCUCAACCGUAGAACUGCAUCCAAAACUGUCAGUCUAGAGUCUGGGAGGGGAAGAUGGAAUUAGUUGUGUAGGGGUAAAAUCCGUAGAGAUAACUAGGAAUACCAAAAGCGAAGGCGAUCUUCUGGAACAGUACUGACGCUGAGGCGCGAAAGCGUGGGGAGCAAACAGGAUUAGAAACCCUAGUAGUCC
rnacentral:rRNA from 1 species